rnacentral:rRNA from 1 species
UACGAAGGGGGCUAGCGUUGCUCGGAAUGACUGGGCGUAAAGGGCGCGUAGGCGGUUUGUACAGUCAGAUGUGAAAUUCCUGGGCUCAACCUGGGGGCUGCAUUUGAUACGUGCGGACUUGAGUGAGGAAGAGGGUCGUGGAAUUCCCAGUGUAGAGGUGAAAUUCGUAGAUAUUGGGAAGAACACCGGUGGCGAAGGCGGUGACCUGGUCCUUGACUGACGCUGAGGCGCGAAAGCGUGGGGAGCAAACAGG